AUGGUGACAAAACAGAUGCCAUCAUCUUUGCUGGNNNNNNNNNNGAUUCUUGUCAAGUCUUUGAGUGAAGCGCUUCUCCACAGAUGUAAUGAGGCAUUGAGGGCAGCCUCAAGAACAUCAGUCAAAACCACCGGGCCUAAGGCUCUUCCACUGGCUGAGGAUGUGAGGGCUAGCAGCGGGAAACUAUCUUUUCUACAAAGGCUGGUCAGGCUGACAAGCAACUUAAAGCUAUUCAAGAAGGGGAACAAGAAGGAUUCCCACCGCUCUGAAUCAGAACAAGUACAGACCACUGCUGAAGAUGGCAUGCGUAAGUUCACACAACAGGACAACAGUCUGUUUGAGAUAUUGGUGUACAAAUAAAUGCCACUUCAAAAUAACCUUACAAAGGUUAUAUACGCAAUUAGUAGUCAUCUCUUAUGUAAAAGUAAUUAUAUUCUCCAAAACUCAAGCUGUUGGUUCUCAUUUAUCAGUGUCAGUUAUGUUGAGUUGUAACAUACAUUACAUAAUUUCUGAAUUAAAGUGCAUGUAAACGCUCUCUCUCUCUUCUGUAGUGCCCAGCAUAGCGCCACAUGCUGCCAUGUCUGCACUGCCAAAGGAUCUCCCCGCCAGCUCCCAACAGGAGACGCCUCACAAACGUCCACUUCUCGUCAGGAUGUUUUCUGCCAUCUCCAAAGGCCUGUUCAAGCCCUUCAAACAGUCCUUAAAGACCAAGUAACUUCAGACAAUUUAUUAAACGUCAUUCAUUGCAUUAAAUUGGCCUUUGUCUUCUUAUGUGCUCCCGUUAACAGACCAGAUUACAAUACUGGUCUUUUAAAUGUUAGCAGUGAUAGCAACAUUAACUAUAGUGGUGUGUGUAUAGCCCUUCUACACAGUCUGACUCUUCUGACACUGUGUGACAUGCCCUCUGAUCCAGUGAUCUAGGAUCUUCUGAGUGGCUUUAGGCCUGAAUCUCUGCCCUCCGGCCCAAAUAAAUGUUUUCUCUUCUGAUAUAUCUGCCACUGUCAGCAGCCAGCAGGGGAAAACAGACAGCGCUGUUGAGAGCUUUCUUUUCUCCCUCAUGACUAAAACACUGAGAAAGGCUUUUAUCUAUUGCAGCAUAUUCCAUCUUUUGAUUUAACCUAUUAUACGGUAG
rnacentral:lncRNA from 13 species